rnacentral:rRNA from 1 species
GAGUUUGAUCCUGGCUCAGAUUGAACGCUGGCGGCAUGCCUUACACAUGCAAGUCGAACGGCAGCACGGGAGCUUGCUCCUGGUGGCGAGUGGCGAACGGGUGAGUAAUGCAUCGGAACGUAUCCUGGAGUGGGGGAUAACGUAGCGAAAGUUACGCUAAUACCGCAUAUUCUGUGAGCAGGAAAGCGGGGGACCUUCGGGCCUCGCGCUCUUGGAGCGGCCGAUGUCGGAUUAGCUAGUUGGUGAGGUGAAGGCUCACCAAGGCGACGAUCCGUAGCAGGUCUGAGAGGAUGAUCUGCCACACUGGAACUGAGACACGGUCCAGACUCCUACGGGAGGCAGCAGUGGGGAAUUUUGGACAAUGGGGGCAACCCUGAUCCAGCCAUGCCGCGUGAGUGAAGAAGGCCUCGGUUGUAAG